rnacentral:antisense_RNA from 1 species
GUCAUCCGGAGCAACGAGGCAUGGUUCGAUGAAUGC